AUUGAACGCUGGCGGCAGGCCUAACACAUGCAAGUCGAACGAGUGGCGGACGGGUGAGUAAUGUCUGGGAAACUGCCCGAUGGAGGGGGAUAACUACUGGAAACGGUAGCUAAUACCGCAUACCAUCGGAUGUGCCCAGAUGGGAUUAGCUAGUAGGUGGGGUAACGGCUCACCUAGGCGACUAUCCCUAGCUGGUCCGAGAGGAUGACCAGCCACAAGGGAACGGGGACACGGUCCAGACUCCUACGGGAGGCAGCAGGGGGGAAUAUUGCACAAGUGGCGCAAGCCUGAUGCAGCCAUGCCGCGAGUAUGAUGAAGGCAUUCGGGUUGUAAAGUACUUUCAGCGAGGAGGCGUUACUCGCAGAAGAAGCACCGGCUAACUCCGUGCCAGCAGCCGCGGUAAUUC
rnacentral:rRNA from 1 species